AGAUUGAACGCUGGCGGCAGGCCUAACACAUGCAAGUCGAGCGGUAGAGAGGUGCUUGCAUCUCUUGAGAGCGGCGGACGGGUGAGUAAUGCCUAGGAAUCUGCCUAGUGGUGGGGGAUAACGUUCGGAAACGGACGCUAAUACCGCAUACGUCCUACGGGAGAAAGCGGGGGACCUUCGGGCCUCGCGCCAUUAGAUGAGCCUAGGUCGGAUUAGCUAGUUGGUGAGGUAAUGGCUCACCAAGGCGACGAUACCGUAACUGGUCUGAGAGGAUGAUCAGUCACACUGGAACUGAGACACGGUCCAGACUCCUACGGGAGCAGCAGUGGGGAAUA
rnacentral:rRNA from 1 species